AGAGCUUAUCUACACGGACUCAGAUCUUGUUGCCACCCCCAUUAUUAGCACUCCAAAGGUAAUGAAACAACCACAUCGGUUAAAUUUGAUGCAAAAAUAUUGCAUCUACCAGCAUUUUCAGUGGAUGAGUUAUAAUUUCUGAACGACCAAGAUUGGAAUGACUUUUUUGCAACAAGUGUGCUCGCAGAUCAACUCCACUGAGAAGAGCUUGGGGACCUCCUGAGCCAAGCUUAAUCUCCUUUGUUAUUUGUGCGUGGUGGCUGGAGGUGGCCACCAGGCUCCUCCAUUCCCUGCUGACAGGCCAACGUUGCUUGGGUGAUUGGUUUACUGGCUUCACACACAACUGAGCUCCAGGAAAAUACACCUGUUGUUGAGACUACAAGCUCCAUUGGAACAGGGAUUGUGAACUGUCUUUUUCAACACUCCACCCCAGUGCCUAGACAGUGUCUUGUGUAUAUCUAGAUACUGACAAAUAUUUCAAAAUAAGCGAAUAAAAGUGUAUCAGUAUGCUUGGGACUCCCUGUAGCAGGGCCUGGAAGAUGGUAUGUUUUGCUGCUGCAGGAAUUCUCAAGGGACUGGGCAGAGGGCAUGUGAAGUAACCUGGGACCUGCUGGUCACCCUAGGUGAUGUGCUGCCCUCAUUCUACUGGUACUUGCUGUUGGGGCUGCUGCACUCCCACUUGGAGAGUUUGGCCCUGCAAUUCCUGAACCAUAUUUGUUACCUGUACUCACUCAGGUUAAGUUCUGUGGCCAGUUUGUAUUUUCAAAGUAUUUCUCCUACUCCAGUUGUUGUACUUUGUCGACGUUGUAUUAUUCCUGGUCCUGCCUCAACUGAGAGGAAAGUGUGGGUGUUAAUUCCGGAGGGUCUUGUAUCUUUUAUUCCGGUACUAUUCUCUUCAUGGAUGUUUGCUGAUGCUUUAUUAAUUUGAAAUGCAAGAACUUAGGGAAAAUCAUACUUAUUUCAUUUAAAAAAAUGGUGCAUACCGAACUAUCUGGUGGACUCUUUUGUAUUACACACAUUGUAUUGCGAACUACAUUUGGUUGGAUAGUAGGGAGCUUAUAUAAUAACUUGAAAUUGAGCCAGGUGCUCCUUUGUGAUGCCAUCUUAAUUUUGUUAUUUCUCAACACCUUUUAGUUCUUUAGUUCACUACUUUUAAUGGCAAAAACUGUAAUUACUUUUGCACCAACCUAAUUCUUGCUGGAGCAAUUGGCUGUGAUAAUUUAAAUAGCCACUAGAGGUCAUUCAGGCACUAGAAAAAAAGUUGUGCAAGUUUUAAGAAUUUGUUGCAACUUCCAGAAGCAGGAUCUGUGGAGGCUGAGCUGGUACAUGGUCCCAUGUUUCAUCUUUUUCCUGGUUUUUUAGACGUUUCUGCUACAGGAUGUGUGGCUCCAUUCCAUUGGUGAUUUUUACUAUUUGAAAGGAAUCAGAUGGAUGAAAACCACUAUAGCCUCUCCAGAAAAAUGCAGUUAGCACCAAGCACGUGAUUUCAGGGUAUCUGAGAACCCUGUGGAGUCCACUGGUAAAUCUUUGGUUCAUAACUCCUGAGACCAGGUUUCUGUAAAACUCAAAGUUGGGUGCUUGUAGAUAAUUUUUCAGUAAUCAGUAACAAAAUUUCAAGUGUAAGAUAAAUCCUGAAUUCUCUAUUAGGUUUACUAUCAGUGAACAAGAAAAAUUGUGGUUGAAGAUCCUAUAAGCACUUUAUUUUAGUUUUUAUUUUACUUAUUUAUUCAUUUAGUUUUUGAGACAGAGUCUCGCUCUGUUGCCCAGGCUGUAGUGCAGUGGUGUGAUCUUGGCUCGCUGCAACCUCUGCUUCCCGGGUUCAAGAGAUUCUCAGCCUUAGCUUCAUGAGUAGCUGGGACUGCAGGCUCAUGCCACCAUGUCCCACUGAUUUUUGUAUUUUUACUAGAGAUAGGUUUUCACCAUGUUGGCCAGGCUGGUCUUGAACCCCUGGCCUCGAGUGAUCCACUUGCCUCGGCCUCCCAAAGUGCUGGGAUUACAGGUGUGAGCCACUGCACCUGGCCCCUAUAAGCAUUUUAAAGGCAUAGAACCUCAUUUUAUUACUCACCUUUGUACCCCACAGUGCUGAGCCAGCAAAGUAAUGUGUAUUUCAGGCACUCAGUCAAUGCUGAAGGGUUUAAUAAAUGAUUAAAAGAAUGUUAGAAGAGUAUGAUGGUGUAAUUUGUUACAAAGAGAAAGAAAAACUGGAGCAAAAAUCUAUUUUACUGUCCUUGUAAUAUAAUUUAAGUCUCUUUCAUCUUAUUCUCUCAUCACAGCUACAGAAAAUAACUGGUCAUGAUCUCCUUUAUGCAUUUAGAAGCCUUUAUUGGCAUCUGUAUCUUUUUCACAGAAAAAUAUAACUAUCUGAAGCUUAUUUUCCUAGAUAACACAUUUACCACUGUGUAUUCAUUGUGGUUUCUAUAUGUAAUAAUUUAAAUAAAUAUUUCUGUUAUUAAGCCAAUAUAUUUAGUGUGAAGCAUGCGGUGGAUAUAUUUUAGGAAAUUUAAUACAGACUCAUCAAAUGCAAUAACUGAAAGGAAUUUUUUUUUUUUUUUUUUUUUGGUGACUAAGUCUCACUCUGUCAGCCAGACUGGAGUGCAGUGGCGCGAUCUUGGCUCACUGCAACCUCCGUCACCCGGGUUCAAGAAAUUCUCCUGCCUCAGCCUCCUGAGUAGCCGGGAUUACAGGCAUGCACUGCCAUACCCAGCUAAUUUUUUUUGUAUUUUUAGUAGAGACAGUGUUUCACCAUGUUGGCCAAGCUGGUCUCGAACUCUUGACCUCAAAUAAUCCACCCAUUUCAGCCUCCCAGAGUGCUGGGAUUACAGGCAUGAGCCACCACGUCCGGCCAAAAGGAAUAUUAACAGACAUUUAAGUUAACGCAUUCAUUAAAUUUCUUUAUUAUCGGUUGGGCAUGGUGACUCACGGGUGUAAUCCCAGUACUUUGGGAGGCUGAGGUGGGAGGAUAACUUGAACCUAGGAGUUUGAGACCAGCCUGGGCAACAUAAAGAGAUCCUGUCUCUAGAAAAAAUAGAAACAGUCUGGCGUGGUCGUGCGUAUCUGUGGUCCCAGCUACUCAGGAGGCUGAGACAUGACCCUGGGAGGUUGAGGCUGCAGUGGGCUAUUAUCAUGCUACUGCACUCCAGCUGGGUAACAGAGCAAGAGCCUGUCUCAAAAUCUUUUUUUAUUAUUAUGGAAAAUUUCAACAUAUAUAGAAGUAGAGAGACUAGAAUAAUGAGGUAGCAUCAUUCGCUUCCAGCAAUCAUCAACACUGGCUAAUCUUGUUUCAUCUAUGUCUCCUGCUUUCAUUCUCCCUCUCCCUUUUUCUCCCCCUCUCUCUCUCACUGGAGUAUUUUAAAUAAAAUAAUAUCAUUUUAUUAGCAAAUAUAUUUUGCUAACAGAAAAAGAUUAGAAAAAUAUAUAACCACAAUUUCAUUAUCACUCCCAAUACAUUCAACAGUAGUCCCUGAAUAUCAUCUAAUACCCAGUUAGUGUUCAGAUUUUCCUGAUGGUUUCAUACAUGUCAUUUUGUAAUUUUUCUUUGAGCCAGGAUUGUGUUUAGAUAAUGUGACCCUUAAGUCUCUUAAUUCCUGAUCUCUUUUUUUAGUGUCAUUUAUUUGUUACAAAUUGUCCCUUGGCCCAAAUGGGAACAUCAGAAGCUUUAUUGCACCCUUUUGGUGUUAUUUAAUAGAGUCCUUUAUCACCUGCCUUUCCUUUCUUGCAUGUGGCUGCUUAUAUGUGGAUCCUUGGUUCAGUGUUUUUUUGGGGGGAUGGCUUAGGGAAAUAGGAAUUUUUCAUAGUUGGUGCUGUAUUUUUCCUAUUGCUUCAUAGAAAGUGAGACAACUAAGCAUUAUAUGCCUCUAUUAGAGGGGUUAAAGUUGAUCACUGGAGUCAGAUGUUGUUAGCCUUCUUAUAAAUAUUCUCAUCUCACUCUUUGUUUUCUUCAUACCCUCAUCUGUGAGCCAGGAACUCAUCCCUCUUUUAUUUAAUGGUUUUAACAUCGAUCGAUUAUUGUCUACAUGUAAUAAUCCUUUAGAUUUAGAGAUGCAAAAUGAUAAUUUUCUUAUUCUGUAAUUUCCUAUUUGUAGUUGGAAGUUUUCUUACAGAAGAGCUUUCCCUGAUCAACUAUUUGGUUAUCCUAAAACAGAAUUUGUUUCUCAAGGCAGGAUAAAUGCUUGAUUGUUUCUCUUCAUAGGUCAGUUUUCAGAAUAAAGAGUUGGUACCAUAGAAAUCUCCAUAAAUGUCCAGUGAGUUGGUACCUUAGAAAUCUCCAUAAAUAUCCAGUGAAAUUGAUUUUAUAUUCUUAAGAACUUAUAGAUGUAUAUAUGUAUAUGUAUAUCAUCUAGUCCUUUGCAGUCGUUAGUCUUUUUGAUGCUUAAAUUGUUUCAUCUCCAUCCAGUGGGAGCCAUUCAAGUUUGCGCCUUUCUCCCUUUGACAUGAGCCUACUCCUGUCUCUGAUAGCUUGCUGGCUUCUCGGCAGUGAGCUUUCACAGGCUUGUUUUGGGAAUAGUCAGCCCCUAGUUUUGAAACCACUUCUAUAAGGAAUCUCAUUUACUUUUUGUUAGAAGAUAUAGUUAGAGAACGCAGUCUGGCUUCUCAAGGAUUUUUUUUUUUUCUUGUAGAGCUUUUCAGAGGUCAGAUCUGGGUACUACUGUUUCUUAAAAAGAGAAAAAUUCUGAGUUUAUUGAUACCUUUCCGAUUCAGAUUUUUUUAUUGAGAUGGAGUUUCGCUCUUGUUGCCCAGGCUGGAGUGCAAUGGCGUGAUCUCGGCUCACCGCAACCUCUGCCUCCCCGGUUGAAGUGAUUCUUCUGCCUCAGCCUCUCGAGUAGCUGGGAUUGUAGGCAUGCACCAUCAUGCCUGACUAAUUUUGUAUUUUUAGUAGAGACAGGGUUUCACCACGUUGGCCCAACUGAUCUCAAACUCCUGACCUCAUGUGAUCCGCCCACCUUGGGCUCCCAAAGUUCUGGGAUUACAGGUAUGAGCCACUGCACCUUGCCCCAAUUCAGAUUUAAAAUUCGUUUUUACCUCUUGAUUUACAAUUUUUAUUUUUCUUCUUAUAAGCUAAAAAUCCUGACUGGGCGCAGUGGCUCAUGCCUGUAAUUCCAGCACUUUGGGAGCCGAGGCAGGUGGAUCACUUGAGUUCAGGAGUUUGAGACCAGCCUGGCCAACAUGGCAAAAUCCCAUCUUUACUAAAAAUAUAAAAAUUAGCUGAGCAUGGUGGUGCACACCUGUAAUCCUGGCUACUCCGGAGGCUGGGGCACGGGAAUUGCUUGAACCCAGGAGGCAGAGGCUACUGGGAUCACACCACUGCAUUCCAGCCUUGGCAACAGAGUGAGACUGUGUCUCAAAAAAAAAAAAAAAAGAAAGAAAAAUCUUGACCAUUAAUAACAUUAACAUAAUGAUCUUUUUUUUUUUAGCUUAAAGUUUAGAAUAGCUUAAAAAUAGUAGUACACGUAUUGUUACUAACAACAAAACUACAAAGUACAUUGUAAGUACUUUUUUUCCCUGGUGAUAUAACCCACUGGAUGAUAUAUACAGUCAAAACACUGAGUUUUAAAAUCAAUUUAAAUAAUUAUUCACUUCGUACUUUUGUCACCAGUAUGAUAUAUAGUUAUAUAUGUUUCCAUUUUUUUUUAGAUAUUUAGAGAUGACUUUGUACUUUCUUUCUGGUUUGAAAAUUAUAAUCCUUUUUUAUUGAAGUGUUAGAAAUAUACAGAAAUAUGUACAAAAGGUAAAUGUACUGCUUAAUCAAUUAUUGCCAAGUGUGAAAACCCAAGAAACUGCCACUGGGUCAAGAAACAGAACAUUGAGUAGGAUGUUGCCAGCAUACCUAGGGACCCUCUUAUGCCCUUCCCGAUCACUGUUCUCUCCAUUUGCGCCAAAGGAAGUUACCAUAACUUCCAACUCUAUGAUGAUUUUGCCUGCUUUUGAAUUUUAUUUAAAUUGAGUCCUAUGAUACGUAUACUUUGGUAUCUGGCUUCUUUUAUUUCAUAUUAUGUUUAUGGAAUCAUCCUUGUUGCAGGUACCUGUGGUUCAUUUUUAGUACAUGAGUAUACUACAUCACUGGCGAUGGGCAUUUGGAUUGUUUUCUGUAUUUGGCCGUUAUAAACCUUGCAAACACAUUUUGAUGCACUUGCGCAAGCUCUCUGUUGGGUAUGUGUGGGAAUAAAAUUGGUAGAUUAUAGGGUGUGUGUGUAUUCAACUUUAGGGGGUAAUCUAAACUGUUUUCCAAAAAGGUUGUAGAAGUUAAAAUGCUUUGACUAAUGAAAGAAUGCUCAGUGCUCUGUAUUCUCAUUAAUACUUGGCGUUGGCAUAAAAUCAUGUUAAAUAAGUAUUUACCAGUUUCCUCUUUGUUUUUAACAUUAAUGGUUAUUGAGUUUGGUAUGGCAUCUGAAGAUAUGAGUAUAGAAUUUUUCUUCCUAUCUCUAUUAAUAGGUGGAUUAUAUUAAUGGAAUUCCUAAAAAUAAAUCACCUUUGCAUCUUCAGAAGAAA